UUCAUGGAGAGUUUGAUCCUGGCUCAGGACGAACGCUGGCGGCGUGCCUAAUACAUGCAAGUCGAGCGAAUCWWGAGGUGCUUGCACCUCUUGGUUAGCGGCGGACGGGUGAGUAACACGUGGGCAACCUGCCUGUAAGACUGGGAUAACAUCGGGAAACCGAUGCUAAUACCGGAUAAUCCUUUUCCUCUCAUGAGGGAAAGCUGAAAGUCGGCUUCUCGCUGACACUUACAGAUGGGCCCGCGGCGCAUUAGCUAGUUGGUGAGGUAACGGCUCACCAAGGCGACGAUGCGUAGCCGACCUGAGAGGGUGAUCGGCCACACUGGGACUGAGACACGGCCCAGAC
rnacentral:ncRNA from 1 species